rnacentral:lncRNA from 1 species
GGCUGCAGCUCGGCGCGGAGUGAAGACCCUCGGCGCUGGGGCUCGCCGAGGGGAAAGGGUGCUCGGCGAUGGGGGAGCAGGCGCCCGGCGAUGGGCGCGCGGGCCAUGCGCACUCGGGCGAGAGUCUUGGGCAGCCCGACGACGGGUGUGAGCACGCCUCGACACCUUUUUGCUCCAGAUUCGUCUGAGUUUAACAUUUUUUUCUUUUUAGAACCUCCCUGCAAAACAUUACAUCACCAUCACAAACUACUAAUAAAAUCAAUAAAAUAUGAUUCCAUUAUAUAACUAUAAAUCCCCGAAAAUCAUAACAAUAAGGCAUAAAUCAC